rnacentral:lncRNA from 1 species
CGUGAAGAUCCUGAGGAGCAGCCCAGUCCGCCCACACAACAGACUGAGAGUGGUGCGCGGCAGUGAGCUCCAGGUCAUAAAAACGGAGCUGACGCAGAUCAAGGACAACAUCGAGGCUCUGCUGGGACGCCUGGACACUCUGGAGGACCACACUGCAGUAACAGAUACAAGGAAAGGGGAGGGGCCUCUGUCGGAAGGGGCGUGGCCUGAGGAGGAAGAGGAGGAGUCGGAAUCAGAGCUCGUGGAUGUGAGACAAAACAGUGAAGAGGAGGAAGAAGACGAAGUGGAGAUGGAUCAAGCAGACAACACGCAGCAGCACAACAGAGAAACAACAUGGUACACCACACGACUCCAUGAUUU